UACAGAGGGUGCGAGCGUUGUUCGGAAUUACUGGGCGUAAAGCGCGCGCAGGCGGCUUUUUAAGUCCGACGGUGAAAUGCCGGGGCUCAACCCCGUGCCCGCCGCGGAUACUGGAUGGCUUGAAUCCGGGAGAGGGAUGCAGAAUUCCAGGUGUAGCGGUGAAAUGCGUAGAUAUCUGGAGGAAUACCGGUGGCGAAGGCGGCAUCCUGGACCGGCAUUGACGCUGAGGCGCGAAAGCCAGGGGAGCAAACGGG
rnacentral:rRNA from 1 species